CAUGAACCCGCUGUGCUGUACAACCUCAAAGAGCGUUACGCAGCCUGGAUGAUCUACACCUACUCGGGCCUCUUCUGUGUCACUGUCAACCCCUACAAGUGGCUGCCGGUGUACAACCCGGAGGUGGUGUUGGCCUACCGAGG